rnacentral:rRNA from 1 species
UAGCAUAUCAAUAAGCGGAGGAAAAGAAACCAACAGGGAUUGCCCUAGUAACGGCGAGUGAAGCGGCAACAGCUCAAAUUUGAAAUCUGGCUACUUUGUAGUCCGAGUUGUAAUUUGUAGAGGAUGCUUUUGGUGAAGUGCUUUCUGAGUUCCCUGGAACGGGACGCCAGAGAGGGUGAGAGCCCCGUACAGUUAGCAACUGACCCUUUGUAUAGCUCCUUCGACGAGUCGAGUAGUUUGGGAAUGCUGCUCUAAAUGGGAGGUAUAUCUCUUCUAAAGCUAAAUAUAGGCUAGAGACCGAUAGCGCACAAGUAGAGUGAUCGAAAGAUGAAAAGCACUUUGAAAAGAGAGUUAAACAGCACGUGAAAUUGUUGAAAGGGAAGCGCCUAUGACCAGACUUGUCUCUAUCAGUUUUGGUAGUUUUCGGACUGCUUUACUCUGUUAGUACAGGCCAACAUCAGUUUGUUGUCGGGGAGAAAGGCUUAGGGAAUGUGGCUCCUUUGGGAGUGUUAUAGCCCUUUGCAUAAUACCCUUCGGCAGACUGAGGACCGCGCUUCGGCAAGGAUGUUGGCGUAAUGGUCAUCAGCGACCCGUCUUGAAACACGGACCAAGGAGUCAACCUUAUAUGCGAGUGUUUGGGUGUAAAACCCCAGCGCGUAAUGAACGUGAACGUAGGUGAGAGCUUCGGCGCAUCAUCGACCGAUUCUGAUGUUCUCGGAUGGAUUUGAGUAAGAGCAUAUGGGGUUGGACCCGAAAGAAGGUGAACUAUGCUUGUAUAGGGUGAAGCCAGAGGAAACUCUGGUGGAGGCUCGCAGCGGUUCUGACGUGCAAAUCGAUCGUCAAAUAUGAGCAUGGGGCGAAAGACUAAUCGAA